CCUACGGGAGGCAGCAGUGAGGAAUAUUGGUCAAUGGCCGUAAGGCUGAACCAGCCAAGUAGCGUGAGGGAAGACUGCCCUAUGGGUUUUAAACCUCUUUUAUGCGGGGAUAAAGGUGUCCACGUGUGGCUGUUUGCAGGUACCGCAUGAAUAAGGACCGGCUAAUUCCGUGCCAGCAGCCGCGGUAAUACGGAAGGUCCGGGCGUUAUCCGGAUUUAUUGGGUUUAAAGGGAGCGUAGGCCGGUCUUUAAGCUUGCCGUGAAAUUUUUUGGCUCAACCAUGAGAGUGCGGCGCGAACUGGAGACCUUGAGUGCGCGGAAGGCAGGCGGAAUUCGUGGUGUAGCGGUGAAAUGCUUAGAAAUCACGAAGAACCCCGAUUGCGAAGGCAGCCUGCCGCAGCGUUACUGACGCUGAAGCGCGAAAGCGCGGGUAUCGAACAGGAUUAGAUACCCCAGUAGUC
rnacentral:rRNA from 1 species